ACGGGAGGCAGCAGCUAAGAAUAUUCCGCAAUGGACGAAAGUCUGACGGAGCGGCGCCGCGUGGAUGAUGAAGGUCGAAAGAUUGUAAAAUCCUUUUGGAAUGGAGGAAUAAGCGUGGUAGGGAAUGACCGCAUGGUGACUGUAGAUUCUGAAUAAGCAACGGCUAAUUACGUGCCAGCAGCCGCGGUAACACGUAAGUUGCGAGCGUUGUUCGGAAUUAUUGGGCGUAAAGGGCAUGUAGGCGGACAUGCAAGUCUGUAGUGAAAUCCCUGGGCUUAACCCAGGAACUGCUAUGGGAACUGCAAGACUAGAGUUACUGAAGGGCAGCCGGAAUUCCAAGUGUAGGGGUGAAAUCUGUAGAUAUUUGGAAGAACACCAAUGGCGAAGGCAAGUUGCUAGCAGAUAAUUGACGCUGAGGUGCGAAGGUGCGGGGAGCAAACAGGAUUAGAUACCCUGGUA
rnacentral:rRNA from 1 species